UGCAGAAUCCCGCGAACCAUCGAGUCUUUGAACGCAAGUUGCGCCCGAGGCCAUUCGGUUGAGGGCACGCCUGCCUGGGCGUCACGCCAAACACGCUCCCACCCCAUCAUCGUGGAGUGGGAUGCGGCUUGUGGCCCCCCGUCGCGCAAGUGGUGGUGGGCCAAAGAUAUGGCUGCCGGUGUAUCGUGCCGGACACAGCGCGUGGUGGGCGACCUCGCUUUACUUACCGUAGUGCAUCCGGUGCCUAGCCGAUAUUAUGGCCACGAAUGAUCCUUUCAACGGUGCGCACGAUGCUCCGACCACGACCCCAGGUCAGACGGGACUACCCGCUGAAUUUAAGCAUAUAAAUAAGCGGAGGAGAAGAAACUUACAAGGAUUCCCUUAGUAACGGCGAGCGAACCGGGAACAGCCCAGCUUGAGAAUCGGGCGGCCUUGUUGUCCGA
rnacentral:rRNA from 1 species